AGCUAGAUACAGAGUGCUGAUUGGUGCAUUCACAAACCCUGAGCUAGACACAGGGUGCUGAUUGGUGUGUUUACAAACCUUGAGCUAGAUACAGAGUGCUGAUUGGUGUAUUUACAAUCCCUUGGCUAGACAUAAAGGUUCUCCAAGUCCCCGCCAGACUCAGGAGCCCAGCUGGCUUCACCCAGUGGAUCCCCCACGGGGGGCUGUAGGUGGAGCUGCCUGCAAGUCCUGCGCCGUGCGCCCACACUCCUCAGCCCUUGGGAGGUCGAUGGGACUGGGCACCCGUGGAGCAGGGGGCGGUGCUCGUUGGGGAGGCUCCACCCCGCAGGAGCCCACCCGGCCGGGAGGCUCAGGCAUGGUGGGCUGCAGGUCCCAAGCCCUGCCUUGCAGGAAGGCAGCUAAGGCCCCGCGAGAAGUCGAGCACAGCAGCUGCUGGCCCAGGUGCUAAGCCCCUCACUUCCCGGGCCGGCAGGGCCGGCUGGCCGCUCGGGGUGCGGAGCCCGCGGAGCUCACGCCCACCUGGAACUCGCGCUGGCGCGCAAGCGCCGCGCACAACCCCUGCUCCCGCCCGCGCCUCUCCCUCCACACCUCCCCGCAAGCUGAGGGAGCCGGCUCCGGCCUCGGCCAGCCCAGGAAGGGGCUCCCACAGUGCAGCGGCGGGCUAAAGGUCUCCUACAGCGCUGCCAAAGUGUGAGCCCAGGCAGAGGAGGCGCCGAGAGUGAGCAAGGGCUGCCAGGGCUGUCAGCAUGCUGUCACCUCUCAAAAUGGUACCAGAAAUUUGAGAUGCAUACUAUGGAACUUCUGGAGAGUGAUGACUGCCAGGGAAAAUGGCCAGCUUAGGCUUCGUGAGGAUCUUUCAGGAUGGCUUCCUAGCACAGCCUGUGGCAGCUCAUCAGGGAACAAAGAAGAAAUGACAGUAUCCCUGCCCUUGAGAAGCUGAUACUCCAGUGAGAGAAGAAAACAGGCAAAGAGAAAGAUGUCACGAUGACAAAGUAACAUUGAAAUGAAUGUAGAAGAUAACUGUGGGGGUUUGGUAAGGUGGGAAUGAGUAGAGUGCAUUGAAGUGAGACUCACCCUGGAACCCUGUCCAGUGAUACUGUCUUAGUCGGUUCUGGCUACUAUAAUGAAAUACCAUAGACUGGCUGGCAUGUAAAUAACAGAAACUUACGUCUCACAGUUCUGAAGGCUUGGAAGUCCAAGAUCAAGACACCAGCAAAUUUUGUGUCUGGUGAAGGCCCACUUUCUGGUUCAUAGAUGGCACCUUCUAGCUGUUUCCUUAUACGACAGAAGGUGCUAGCUAGAUUUCUGGGAUCUCUUUUAUAAAGGCAUUACAAAUUGUGAGGGCUGCAUGCUUAUGACCUAAUCGUCUCCCGAAGACCCUAUCUCUUAAUACCAUCACCUUGAGGGUUAAGAUUUCAACAUGAGAAUUUUGAGAGGACACAAACAUUCAGACCAUAGCAAAUACCAAGCUUUUUAUGGAUUCAUACUAUUUCAGAGAAUUAUACUGGUUGGCUAUAUCCUUAUUUCGAUUAUUACUAUCACCUUAAAAAAGGGAUUCUCAACUUUGAGCAUUACUGACAUUUCGGGCCAGAUCAUUUUGUUGUGGGGGCUGUCCUGUGUAUUGUAGGAUGUCUAGCAACAUCCCUGGCCCCUCCCCACUAGAUGCCACUAGCACCUCGUCUACUACUCCUCCCUGCGCCCCCUACUUCCUCAGUAUGAUGACCCCAAAUGUUUCCAGACCUUACCAAAUGUUCCCUGUUGGGCCAGUUGCCCCCGGUUGAUGACCAUUGUGUUUAAAGAAUUCAUUUCAACUAUUUUAUCGGCCCCUAAGGCACCAGCCUCCCUCUGAGGCUGUGUCCAUGGGAAUGCUAUCUGUGGCUGCUUGCGGAUCUCUCCAGCACUGACUGGCUAAGUCACACUGGCAGCCAUGGGUGAGACUUCCUCAACGUGGGUGGAGCAAAUUCCUACGAUGCCAGGCUGCAAGGUUGCAUUCUGCAUUUCUAGGUGUCGGGGAUGCCUUGAUUAUUUUCCAAAGUAAUCUAAAUUUUAUCUCCAGGGAUCCUUGCCCCUCCUAAAUGGGUAUUAUCUGGGAAUAAGACAGCUCAAUUGUUUAUGGAGCCUUUAUUUAAUAUUUGACAAUAUCUAGGAGAAAGUCACAAACACUUAGUUCAAUUAUUAAAAUAAAGCCUGUAGGGUAUCUCCCCAAAAGAGUAUCCCAGAAUCAUUACUUUAAUUUAAGCAUAAUUGUAAAAGGGGGCUGGGAAGCCUGCAGUAGGGGGAGAUAAAUUUUCAAGUGUCAUUUUAGGAAAACAAAGGCUUUGCAAGAAAAAACAUCCACUUUCCCCCCUAGUUACAGGCUUAAUGUUAUUAAUAAGUUAGAUGUCAGAUGUAUGCUGUUAUUGGCAGCAUGCAUACAAUUUAAAUAUUUUAGCUUCCAUUAUACAACUGAAUCUACAUGACUGACCUUCAAGGGCCCCAUUCAUAAGGGAUGAGGAGAGGGAACAAUCAGCUACUUCAUGCAAGGGCUGGCCAGCAGACUGGGUUUCCCCACAUUGUCAGACAAACCACGACACAGGGAAGGCUUUGGAGACGCUCUAACAUGGCAGGGUUGGGACAGAGAAUGAUGGGGGUGGGGGGCACCCUUUUGGGGCAGGGAGAGAGCCAAGGCUUGUUUUUCUUUUGGAAAAAAAGCUAUUCCACCUUUGUUCCAAGGGAGAAUGAAAUAUCCAUUAAGACUGGUGACACUGGGAAUUUUGUUUUGGCUUAGUUCCUUUUGUUGUGACUCCACGGUAAAGGAGAGGAAUCUGGGGUAAGGAGGUUUCAAGCCAAGAUGAGAAAGAAAAAGCAUGCCUUCCAAGGAUUUCUUCUAUUGUCUCCCGGAGAAUAAAUAUUUAUAGAGAGGGUUCAAGUGAA